rnacentral:rRNA from 1 species
UACAGAGGGGGCAAGCGUUAUUCGGAAUUAUUGGGCGUAAAGGGCGCGUAGGCGGCUUGGCAAGUGGAAGGUGAAAUCCCUCGGCUUAACCGAGGAACUGCCCUCCAAACUGCUUUGCUUGAGGCCGGGAGAGGUGAGUGGAAUUCCCAGUGUGGCGGUGAAAUGCGUAGAUAUUGGGAGGAACACCAGUGGCGAAGGCGGCUCACUGGACCGGUUCUGACGCUGAUGCGCGAAAGCGUGGGGAGCAAACGGG